GACGAACGCUGGCGGUGUGCUUAACACAUGCAAGUGGUGCGACGAACCAGAGCUUGCUCUGGGGCAAAGCCGCGAACGGGUGAGUAACACGUGGGUAAUCUACCCCGUUGACCGGGACAACCCGAGGAAACUCGGGCUAAUACCGGAUGUGGUGCGCAGGCAUAAGCCUGUUCACUAAAGGUAGCUUCGGCUUCCGCAUUGGGAGGGGCCCGCGGCCCAUUAGCUUGUUGGUGGGGUCAAGGCCUACCAAGGCAACGAUGGGUAGCUGGUCUGAGAGGACGAUCAGCCACACUGGGACUGAGACACGGCCCAGACUCCUACGGGAGGCAGCAGUGGGGAAUCUUGCGCAAUGCGCGAAAGCGUGACGCAGCAACACCGCGUGAGGGAAGACGGCCUUAGGGUUGUAAACCUCUUUCAGAUGGGACGAAGGUUGUCCGGUGAAUAGCCGAGAUGAUUGACGGUACCGUCAGAAGAAGCUCCGGCUAACUACGUGCCAGCAGCCGCGGUAAUACGUAGGGAGCGAGCGUUGUCCGGAAUCAUUGGGCGUAAAGAGCGCGUAGGUGGAUUAAUUAGUCUGCUGUGAAAGUCAAAGGCUCAACCUUUGAAAGCCGGUGGAUACUG
rnacentral:rRNA from 1 species